AACGUAGGAGACAAACGUUAUCCGGAGUUACUGGGCGUAAAGGGCGUGUAGGCGGUUUGUUAAGUCUGGCGUGAAAGCUCUCGGCUAAACCGGGAGAGGUCGUUGGAUACUGGCGAACUAGAGGAUGGUAGAGGCGUGUGGAAUUCCGGGUGUAGUGGUGAAAUGCGUAGAUAUCGGGAGGAACACCAGUGGCGAAGGCGACUACCUGGCCUGUUCUUGACGCUGAGGCGCGAAAGCUAGGGGAGCAAACGGG
rnacentral:rRNA from 1 species